rnacentral:rRNA from 1 species
UGCAAGUCGAGCGGAGAAUUCAUUGGAAAUUUUCGAAUGGAAGAUGGAUUUUUUAGCGGCGGACGGGUGAGUAACGCGUGGGCAACCAACCUUGAUCAGGGGGACAACAUUGGGAAACCAGUGCUAAUACCGCAUAGCUCUGUUGGAUGGCAUCAUUUAACAGAGAAAGAUUUAUCGGAUCAAGACGGGCCCGCGUCUGAUUAGCUAGUUGGUGAGGUAAUGGCUCACCAAGGCGAUGAUCAGUAGCCGGACUGAGAGGUUGAUCGGCCGCAAUGGGACUGAGACACGGCCCAUACCCCUACGGGGGGCAGCAGUGGGGAAUAUUGGACAAUGGGCGAAAGCCUGAUCCAGCGACUCCGCGUGGAGGAUGAAGCCUUAAGGGAUGUAAACUCCUUUUCUGGGGGAUGACGAAUGACAGUACCCCAGGAAUAAGCCACGGCUAACUACGUGCCAGCAGCCGCGGUAAUACGUAGGUGGCAAGCAUUAUCCGGAAUUACUGGGCGUAAAGUGUCCGUAGCCUGUUAUGUAAGUCUACUUUCAAAGCUCUCGACUCAAUCGAGAAAAGGGGGUAGAUACUGCAUAGCUAGAGAUAGUUAGAGGUUGAUGGAAUUCUCGGUGGAGGGGUGAAAUCCGUUGAUAUCGGGAGGAAUGCCGAAAGCGAAAGCAGUCAACUAUAACUAAUCUGACGGUGAGGGACGAAAGCAUGGGUAGCAAACAGGAUUAGAUACCCUGGUAGUCCAUGCCGUAAACUAUGCUCGCUAGGUGUCCCCGACUUGUCGGGGGUGCCGUAAGCUAACGCGUUAAGCGAGCCGCCUGAGGAGUAUAGUCGCAAGACCGAAACUCAAAGGGAUAGGCGGGGGAAUACACAAGCAGUGGAUUGUCUCGAUUAAUUAGAUAAUAAGCCAAGAAUCUUACCUGGGCUUGACAUCCUUGGAAUCUUGUAGAAAUACAAGAGUGCCUAGCUUGCUAGGAGCCAAGUGACAGGUGCUGCAUGGCCGUCGUCAGCUCGUGCCGCAAGGUGUCCGGUUAAGUCCGGAAACGAGCGCAACCCUCGUCCUUAGUUAUUAUGUCUAAGGAGACUGCCUUCGCAAGAGGGAGGAAGGAGAGGAUGACGUCAGGUCACUAUGGCCCUUAUGCCCAGGGCGUCAGAGACAAUACAAUGGGUGGUACAAUAGGAAGCGAAACCGUGAGGUGGAGCAAAUCCUCCAAAACCAUCCUAAGUGCGGAUCGUAGUCUGGAACUCGACUACGUGAAGUUGGAAUUGCUAGUAAUGGCGGAUCAGCCAUGCCGCCGUGAAUAUGUCCCUGUUCCUUGCACUCACCGCCCGUCAUACCACGGGAGUUAGGGCUCUUUGAAGGUCUACAAUGUGAUCG